rnacentral:rRNA from 1 species
GUGAGGAAUAUUGCGCAAUGGAGGCAACUCUGACGCAGCCAUGCCGCGUGCAGGAAGAAGGCGCUACGCGUUGUAAACUGCUUUUAACCGGGAAGAAACCCCAGGACGUGUCCUGGGUUGACGGUACCGGAGGAAUAAGCACCGGCUAACUUCGUGCCAGCAGCCGCGGUAAUACGAAGGGUGCAAGCGUUAUCCGGAUUCAUUGGGUUUAAAGGGUGCGUAGGCGGAGCGUUAAGUCAGUGGUGAAAUCCUGCAGCUUAACUGUAGACUUGCCAUUGAUACUGGCGCUCUUGAGUGCGCUUGAAGUGGGCGGAAUGUGUCGUGUAGCGGUGAAAUGCUUAGAUAUGGCACAGAACACCAAUUGCGAAGGCAGCUCACUAAGGCGAUACUGACGCUGAGGCACGAAAGCGUGGGGAUCGAACAGGAUUAGAAACCCUGGUAGUCC